rnacentral:rRNA from 1 species
UGAGGAAUAUUGGUCAAUGGGCGGGAGCCUGAACCAGCCAAGUCGCGUGAAGGAAGAAGGAUCUAUGGUUCGUAAACUUCUUUUGCAGGGGAAUAAAGUGCAGGACGUGUCCUGUUUUGUAUGUACCCUGAGAAUAAGGAUCGGCUAACUCCGUGCCAGCAGCCGCGGUAAUACGGAGGAUCCGAGCGUUAUCCGGAUUUAUUGGGUUUAAAGGGUGCGUAGGUGGUUUGAUAAGUCAGCGGUGAAAGUUUGCAGCUUAACUGUAAAAAUGCCGUUGAAACUGUCGGACUUGAGUGUAAAUGAGGUAGGCGGAAUGCGUGGUGUAGCGGUGAAAUGCAUAGAUAUCACGCAGAACUCCGAUUGCGAAGGCAGCUUACUAAGCUACAACUGACACUGAAGCACGAAAGCGUGGGGA